UACGUAGGGGGCAAGCGUUGUCCGGAAUCAUUGGGCGGAAAGCGCGUGUAGGCGGCUCGAUAAGUCUGCUGUGAAAGCCCAAGGCUCAACCUUGGGAUGCCGGUGGAUACUGUCGAGCUCGAGUCCGGAAGAGGAGUGUGGAAUUCCUGGUGUAGCGGUGAAAUGCGCAGAUAUCAGGAGGAACACCAAUGGCGAAGGCGGCUCACUGGUCCGGUACUGACGCUGAGGUGCGAAAGCGUGGGGAGCAAACAGG
rnacentral:rRNA from 1 species